CAUUUCCCAGGACACAGAAAAGAAAAUGCCUGAGAUACUUGGGUCAGCAGUGUUAUCUUAGAUAACAGUAAAAAACAGGGUGAAUUCUGCAAAACCAAUCAAAUUUAUCCUGCAUGUACCAUGAAAAAGAAGGACUGUGUCAGUUCUAUCUGUUUGGCAUUCUCUGUGUUUUGUUUUGUGUUUUUUUUUUCUUCUUCUUUAUUUCUGUAAAAGUUUUUUAAAAACAACUGUAUUACUUAAUUCAAACAGCCAUAGACUUUUGCUCAAACUGAAAUCCAUCACGACAGUUCGGUGGACAUAUGUUUAGGCAUAUAUUACGCGUUAUGUAAUCUUACACCAGUAAAGCUUCUUUCAUGUUAAAGUGCAUUAAUACCCAUCAGCCAUAAUUGGUUUUGGCCUAUCUGGGUGGUAUUUGCAGGGAAUGAGCUCUUCACAGGCUCUGCAGCUGUGCUCCUUGGGUGCCAGCAUGGAGGCUGCCUGGACAGCCAUCAGAGCAGUGCUCUGUCAGCUGAAGGAGCACGGCCAGACAAAUGAGAGAGAGGCAAGGCCGUACGUGCUACUUUCUCGCGGUGUGAAGUAGCUGUCAGGCCUGAGGCACACUUUUUCAUUUUGGAAGCAAAGGCAUUAUACUGUCUAUUUCUGUCCUAUGCAGGCAAAUUCAACUGUGUCUUGGCGCUUGCUUCCUGCAGGCUGUCAUAAUCAGGACAAAUCAAGCAGAGCAGGUGAAGAUGAGAGCACAUAGACACUGGGAUGACACUGGAAAAAGCUGACCACCUCAGAAACUUACCCAGUAUGUCAGAUAAAAGCAUUGUGCAAGGAAGACAAUUCCUCCUGUUUUCAUGACUGCACUUCAAAUAUUUGACUCUUGUUUACUGUUUAUCCUGGCUACCUAUACUUGACACUUUAUUUCCCCCUUUGCUGUCCAAAAUCCCAGUAACUUGUCAAUGUGAAGAAUGACCACAGCUACUCAGGAUGCCAGCUAAUUUCAGGGCAACUACGAUUUUUUACAGGGGUGAAUCAGAAGGUGUCAGUUUUCACCAGUGCUCAGAAUCACAUCCUAACAGAAACUGGGGACAAAACUCUUGCCAAUUUCACUGAAAUUACAUAAAGAGGGGGAACGUUUUGAAAGCAAAUCUUAUAGAGAAAUUCAAAGUGCUGUAUGACAAAAUAUUUGGAAAUGUGUGUUGUUUCUGAUUAUAUCACAUGUAAAGUUGUCUGAUCUGCUGACCACCAUCACUUCCAGAUUCUUUUCUUUACUGCAGAUUUUUGUGCUUUUUCUCUUAAUAAAAUAACGUCUUGUUUAAUUUAAAACAGUGGAAUUGUACUUUUGAAUAGAAAGUAUGGUAGAAUUAUACUGCUUUCUUUACAAAAGGCAGCACAAUUAGAAAAUCAGCUACCCAGUCUCUCUUUGCAAAUAUUUAAUAUCUUCUUGUAGAAAUUAGAGAUUACAUAUGUAUCCAGUGAAAAUCACUAUGGGAACCUCUCAUUAUUUGUGUCUGUGACAGGUUGGGGGAGGGGGCUUAGCCAUCAAAGUAUAACUGAAUAUUACAAAAUCUUAAGUACUGUAAAAAUCUCUUUUAUUAU